UACGUAGGGUGCGAGCGUUGUCCGGAAUUAUUGGGCGUAAAGAGCUCGUAGGCGGUCUGUCGCGUCGGUCGUGAAAACUUGGGGCUUAACUCCAAGCUUGCGGUCGAUACGGGCAGACUAGAGUGAUGUAGGGGAGACUGGAAUUCCUGGUGUAGCGGUGAAAUGCGCAGAUAUCAGGAGGAACACCGAUGGCGAAGGCAGGUCUCUGGGCAGUAACUGACGCUGAGGAGCGAAAGCAUGGGGAGCGAACAGG
rnacentral:rRNA from 1 species